GUGGGGAAUCUUCCGCAAUGGACGAAAGUCUGACGGAGCGACGCCGCGUGAGUGAAGAAGGCCUUCGGGUCGUAAAGCUCUGUCAUCAGGGACGAACGGCCGGUGGAGUGGAAAGCCACCGGAUUGACGGUACCUGAGAAGGAAGCCACGGCUAACUACGUGCCAGCAGCCGCGGUAAUACGUAGGUGGCAAGCGUUGUCCGGAAUUAUUGGGCGUAAAGCGCGCGCAGGUGGGAUCUUAAGUCCAUUUUUAAAGUUCGGAGCUCAACUCCGUGAUGGGAUGGAAACUGGGAUUCUUGAGUACCGGAGAGGAAAGCGGAAUUCCCCGUGUAGCGGUGAAAUGCGUAGAUAUGGGGAGGAACACCAGUGGCGAAGGCGGCUUUCUGGACGGUGUCUGACACUGAGGCGCGAAAGCUAGGGGAGCGAACGGGAUUAGAUACCCUUGUAGUCC
rnacentral:rRNA from 1 species